rnacentral:snRNA from 1 species
AUUCUUUCUUUCUUUCUUUCUGAUCAAGUGUAGUAUCUGUUCUUAUCAGUUUAAUAUCUGAUAUGUCCUCGAUGUGAGGACUUUAUAUUAAAUGGAUUUUUGGAACUGGGAGAUGGACUCUUU